GACGAACGCUGGCGGCGUGCCUAAUACAUGCAAGUAGGACGCAGUUGCGAACGGGUGAGUAACGCGUAGGUAACUACCUAUUAGAGGGGGAUAACUAUUGGAAACGAUAGCUAAUACCGCAUACUAGUAGAUGGACCUGCGUUGUAUUAGCUAGUAGGUAGGGUAAUGGCCUACCUAGGCAACGAUACAUAGCCGACCUGAGAGGGGGAGCGGCCAACGUGGGACUGAGAAACGGCCCGGACGCCUACGGGCGGUAGAAGUAGGGAAUCUUCGGAAAUGGGGGGAACCCUGACCGAGCAACGCCGCGUGAGUGAAGAGGGUUUUCGGAGCGUAAAGCUCUGUUGUUAAGGAAGCGGUACUUAACCAGAAAGGGACGGCUAACUACGUGCCAGCCUCCGCGGUAAUAC
rnacentral:rRNA from 1 species